rnacentral:rRNA from 1 species
GACGACGCUGGCGGCGUGGAUUAGGCAUGCAAGUCGAACGGUAUCAUCCUUUCGGGGGUGAGAGAGUGGCGAACUGGUGAGUAACACGUAGGUUAUCUACCCUCAAGACGGGGACAACCCAGGGAAACUUGGGCUAAUACCGGAUGUGAGCAACUUUAGUUGUUUGAAAGGUGGCGUAAGCUGUCGCUUGGGGAUGAGCCUGCGUCCUAUUAGUUAGUUGGUGAGGUAACGGCUCACCUAGGCAAUGAUAGGUAGGCGGCCUUAACGGGUGGUCGCCCACACUGGGAUUGAGAUACGGCCCAGACUCCUACGGGAGGCAGCAGUCGAGAAUAGUCUACAAUGGUUGGAAGACUGAUAGUGCGACGCCGCGUGAACGAUGAAUCCCUUCGGGGUGUAAAGUUCUUUUAUAUGUGAGCAGUGCUUCUUAUAUUAACAGUAUGGGGAGAGAGAUAUUAGCAUAUGAAUAAGCAACGGCUAACUCCGUG